rnacentral:lncRNA from 1 species
CGACGGCCGAGGGGAGGUAGUGCCAAGUGACCAGGCGCUCGGGGGAGGGAAACACAGCCGAGGCGAAGGUUGCCGGCUGCCUCAGAUUUGAAGGAGCUCUGAGGGACCCUCGUUUUAAAUUCCUCCGAGCUUCCUUACGCCGAACGCUGGCCUUCUGUGGGAGGUGGGAUGCUGCUGACGUCGGCUUGGCCCGCAGAGCCCGGCGCGCAGCCCACCCCGCGCCUUCAGUGUUUCUGUGGGUCAGGAACUUGGGAGCUAAAUUCUGGUUCAGGGCCUCCCAUAAAGUUGCGUGAAGAUGUCACCUGGGGCUGUGAUCAUCUGAAGGCCUGACUGGUGCUGGAGAAUCCACUCCCUGGGGGACUCACUCACGUGACUGGCAACAGGAGCACUCACAUUGCAUUGUUGAGGGUAGACCGGCUGAGCGUGAGGGGAACCUACCACAGGGAACAGAGGAGGGAGAUGACGAGUAUUGUGUGCACCUUGAGACAAGCUGCAGCAGCAAGGACCAAGCAGAAGACGGAAGAGCAUUUCCUGACACUUAGUAAAUGAACGAAGUCUAACUGAGAGGAUUCAACAUGUCAGAGCUGCAAGAAGAAUGGCAGAGGCCACAUGGUAGCCGAGAGCAACAGAGACAGCACCGGGGGACCCUCAGAGACAGUGAGAGGUUUGGAAGGGGGCCUCGAGCUCCUACGGGUGGGAGCAGCGUUGAAGAAGUCCGUUUGCCUGGGAGUCUGGGGCUGGAUUCAGAAGAUGCAUCAUCACAGUGCCAGCUGAUGCCUUUGCUGUGGCUCCUUCCCCCAGAGGUGGUGUUUGAUAAUAGGGUUUUGUGGCAGGCCAUCCCCUCCAUCCGUUCUUGAUGGUCAGAAGGCAGGAGAGGCUGAGAGGUUGUCACCU